GUGGACUCUCAGAGCUUAUUGGAGAGAGCAGACUCUCCGACUUACUGUUGGAGGCCAGUUACAAGAAUGAAAAGGAGAUCAUUUGCAUUCCCCACUCUCAACAAGGGAUGAAGACUAUUUUAAAAGAAGCCUGUAACAGCCAUAGCAAUAGACAGUACUUUCUGGGAUAGCAGUAUCUGCAGAAAACUGCACAGUGGUUCAGCAUCUAUGAAUAACAGAGCCCUUCCCUCUGCGGGAUUCACAAUUUUCCCCUCAGCCCCACCAAAGCUAACUGAAAUGGACAGCACAAACCAUUGAAGCUCUUCUUUUCAGAGAAAGAAGAAAAACAACAAGAGAAACAUUUAUAUGACACACUAUUUAACAAAAGACAACAAACAACAAACCUCCAACUUCAGAUACUGCAGAAAACCAUCAUCCUGUGACCAAGAACUGCAGAAUGCCUGAGCAAACUUAAAAGAAACUCUUUCAGUUUCCUUGCUGGAUCAUCUUCAGCUAUCUUGCCUCUCCAGAGCUCUCCAGAAUUUGUGGCACUUGGAGGAUGCACUGAAAAGCAUUGCAUCUUUCUGACUCCCAGGGAAGCCGUGCAACUUCAGAGAGAGGUAAUAAGCAAGCUGCGGAAUCUGAGAGUGAGAGCAAGUUGGAAGGACACCAAAAUGGUGUUGGUACAAGAUGGGUUUGCAGGGGCACUUCACAUCCUUCCUCUGCCAUGCUGAGACGGAGAGCUGACCUCACAAUUUCACAUUAUAUUCAGAGCUUAUACCAAAUAGGUUUAACUUCUUUCUUGUUUGGUUGGUUUUGGCCUCAGUCUGGAUAGUCUGGAAAUGGCCAUACAAGUUAGAAAUGUAUCAUUUCUGUUUGAACCAAGUGAAUGAAGUUUUCAACAGUUUUCCAGGUCAGAUAAACGGAUGACUGUUGUGUCAGUGUUACCACCUCAGCAUCAGAGGGUUAUUCACACCACUUACAUUAGCCAGACAGCUCAGCCAAAAAUCAGGUUGGCUAGGACCACUCUGGAGCACACUGGCAGGGGAAAAGCAGCUCUAGGAAGAAGAAUCCUCAGGACAGUGUAGGAGCACCACACAUGUAAGAAGCUCUGGAAAAUCCCAGCAGACUGGAGAGGAACCCUUUGACUGCAGGAUUUUAUUACUUAAGACACCACAAAACAGCACCAACCAAGGGACAGGACUUCCAGUUGAUGAAUGGGUAAGACAGUGAAGCUAGCAUUCCACAACAAAGAUUGUGGCCACAGUUUAAGAAAGUUUCUGAUUUAGUUUCUUCUACAAAGGACACCAACAUGUUUCAUCCUGGUGAUUCUAAGAACUUGUUUUUCUUUGCUAAAUUUUUCCACCACUGAGCCUUGUUAUUAUUCUGCGAAGUAACAACAGAUUACUUCAGAGCAGAAGAGAUUUAUGCAUUUAUACAUCACAGAAAUGCCUGAAUGCUAACUGCCUGCACUUCCGAGAUAAAAGCUGGGGUGCUCUGCCUGCUGGUGCACUGACCUAAAUGCAGACACAUACAGAAUCACACAACCUGUUUACCAUCUAGAUGUCCUAUGCUUUCUGUAGGCAUGGCAUUGCUCCUGUAGGCUUCACCACAGAGACGAGGCGGAGAAGGAAAGCACCUUGAGAUGUUCCAUGGCAGGAGAAGCUGUAUCUCAAUACCACUCUUAUUGGAUGCUUGUUUUCCCUGCUCUAGAAGGCAGUUCUAAAAGGAGGGCUCCCCAGCUUCACAGACAUUCUUGUCAUGUUCCUCGCUAUCCUACUGUGACUUCUUGAUUUCUAAUUUUCUCUGCAGUUUAGGACCAAUACUUCAUGUUUUGUUCACCACAGAUACAGAGAUCAUUUCCUCCUCUUUCCACUUGAAAAAUGUUAUCCUGUCCCUUAAGUCUGCUCUCCUUUUAUCGUCUUAAACUAUUUCCUUAGUUCACAUUUACUAGAUAUCACCACCUUGCUAUAUUCAUAGAAUCAUAGAAUUAUAGAAUGGUUUAGGUUGGAGGGGACCUUAAAGAUCAUCUAGUUCCAUCCAUGCCAUGGGCAGGGUUGCCAACCACUAGAUCAGGCUACCCAGGAACUCAUCUUGGGAUACUCCAUCCUCUCCAAGUGAUCUCUGGCUUUUUUAAAGUGCAAUGCCUGAUACUGGAUAUGAAAUAGGUUUACCAGCAGAAGGAUUAUUUAAUGUCUUUGUCGUUUACACAUUCAUCUGAGGACGGACUUUCUCCGUUUCACAACAGGCUGAUAUUGCUCACACGUGCUUAGUUCAUGAUUCAACAUAGUUCCUAGAUCCUUUCUGAAAGAAAUCAAAGUUUUUCAUCCUAUAUUUAAUAAAUCAUUUUUUCCAACUGCUAUGCAUGAUGCUCUAUGGAAGUCCAUACUAUUUUUAGGAAAUGUCUCCAAUUUGUAAAAAUCAUAUUAAUUCCAGCUCUUUCCCCUGUUGUGCUUGCAGCCUUUCUCAGACUUCUUUUAUCUUCAGAUUUACCAAACCUCCCAUGAACCAGCUCAUUAAAAAGAGCAUUAGAUGAAGCUGCAUGGAGAACAGACACUCGUGCGCUACUCACAGGCAGAGAUUUUCUUAUCAUAACUUAAUAAUAUAUAUUUUGAAAUUCCUGUCCCCCUUUUGACACCAACAACCACUUCUCUGAGCUGUGAGCUACCAAUUCACCUACACAGAGGCUGUAAUAAAAUCCUAGAAAGCAUUUCCUAAUUGAUACCUCUGAGCUUCAGCCAGGCACAUGAAUCUGAGAUCUUAAAUUAUCUUAAUUCAUAUCAGUGUGGAUUCACACCUCAUGUUAAUACUAGAGAAUUUGUGUCCCUUCCAGAUAACAGAAAUGUUUGAAAAGCCAGAGCCUUUCUUUCUGGUGCUCUACAUCUCCUUGCUGAAGGUAACUAUUGCAAACACGGUGCAUUUAGAGUAUAUUAUUUAUCUUUCAUUUAUGUGACUGGUACAGGCUUGGUUUUUCUCUGCUGAACUCCUUAAGAUUUGAAUCCCCUCCUUCAACACAGCAGAGUGGUAUGUCAGCAGCCUUCAAUGCACAGGCAGCGUGCUCUGAUGAGCUGGGAGCCAGAAAAUCCCUAAUUCCAAACCCAACUUCACCAUGCAGACAAUUGCAUAGAUCUAGAGAGGCGUUUUAGCUCCCUCCCUUGCCUUCCUACCAGCCAGCACUAAACCAACAGAACAGUGAUGUUUACCAUGUUUUCAGUCUAAGUCAAAAAUGAAUACCCUCAGUGACUUGCACCCAGCUAAAAUCUCUUAACUACAAUUCCUCUUUCAUAUUUUCAAGCAUAUUUGCAAACAGCAUCUUGGAAAUAGGCUACCAGAUCUUCAGUUGGUGCAACUGGGAGGUUCCACAGAUGGCCAGGAGAACAGUUCAUGAAGGCAUUAUGUUAUUAAACUAUCUGGUUUUGUAAAUCCAAUUUGACAAGAGCUAUUAUAAAAUCAGUUUCUGCGCCCUUGAGCUUUACUGCAAAAUACCUGCAUUUAGCCUUCUUUUUUUUCUACUGAGGAUACAAAUUUUUUAGAAGCUGAAUCUCUUAAUGGAAUUGAUGUAUCAGGGAAGAGCAGGAGGAUUUCUUAAACAAAACAAAAAGUAAACAUAUGGAAGGGAAGCAGAAGAAGGGAAGCAUAGCUUCACUACAGAGAGUCUUUCUGUGUAAUAAAAUACUAAAGAAAUACUGUGAGAAAUCAACCACAGGAAAAUUAGGAGCUACAAAACUGGAGAUAAAGCAGAAUUGGAAGUAAAAGAAGCAGAGCAGGAAUACAAUCUGGAAGGUCAAUUGAUAAAAUAUGUAGCAAGCACUGAACCAACACCAAUCAAUACCACUCAGUAUGAGCCGAAUAACAGCCUAAUAACCACAUCACAUCCACUUUAUGGUACUAUCUAUCACAGCAACAGCAGGAGGUUGUGGCAAUUCCACUUUCUGCACACUCGGAUGGACUAGCCUCACCCAGACCUCCCAGUGUCUCUUCAUGCCACCAUGAAGGCAGCGGCGCUGUCCUGCAGCAACCAACACCAUCCUUCAGUUGAGCUCACCAAAUGUUCGGGACAGCAAAUCUGGGAUGUGUGAUAGGCAGAGUAGUGAGGAGCUGAGCACGAAGCCAGAUUUGAUGUCAGGGGACAUCAAAUCUAUAUAGGUUAGGGACUGACCUGCUGGAGAGCAGCAUAGGGGAAAAGGACCUGGGGGUGCUGGUGGACAGCAGGACCACCCUGAGCCAGCACCAUGCCCUUGAGGCCAAGAAGGCCAAUGGCAUCCUGGGGUGUAUUAGAAGGGGAGAGUUUAGUAGGUUGAGAGAGGUUCUCUCCCUCUACUCUGCCCCAGUGAGACUGCAUCUGGAAUAUUGCAUCCAGUUCUGGGCCCCUCAGUUCAAGAAGGACAGGGAACUGCUUGGGAGAGUCCAGCACAGAGCCACAAAGAUGAUUAAGGAUGUGGAGCAUCUCCCUUAUGAGGAGAGGCCAAGGGAGCUGUGUCUCUUUAGCUUAGAGAAGAGGAGACUGAGGGGUGACCUCAUUACUGCUCAUAAAUCUGUAAAGGGUGUCAGGACGAUGGAGCCAGGCUCUUCUCAGUCACAAGGGGCAAUGGGUGCAGUAUGGAACAUAAGAGGUUCCACAAAAAUAUGAGAAAAAACUACCCUUGAGUAAGGGUAACAGAACACUGGAGCAGGAUGCCCAGAGAGGUAGUGGGGUCUCCUUCUCUGAAGACAUUCAAAACACUCCUGGAUGCAUUCCUGUGUGACCUGGUUUAGGUGUUCCUGCCCUGGCAGGGGGAUUGAACUAGAUGAUCUUUCAAGGUCCCUUCCAUUCCCUGACAUCCUGUGAUUCUGUGACUUCUCCAUAAAAGGGGACAAACUGACAGUAAGGACUGAACUGAGAUGAGACUGGGCACCACACCAGAUGAUGAGAAAAGUCAAGCCUGGCUCAUUUUUUAUAACAUGCAAUGGAGAAGUAUUGGCCUCUUUCAAAUCAGUAAAAAAUCCUCCAUAUGGUUCCAAAGAGCCUGAGAAUUCAUCCCUCAUUUUGACCUAAUGUUAAAAAAGUUGAUACACGGCAUAAUUUAUAUCUUUCCUAAAAUGCUGGUGGAUUGUCUUCAAGGUUUGAAUAUGGAAAGAUAAUCAGCAACACAUAUGAACCAGAAAAAUAAUAGAACCAAGUUGGAAUGGACCCACAAGGAUCAUCAAGUCCAACUCCUGGCUCCACACAGGACCACCCAAAGUUCAAACCCUGUGUCGAGAGCAUUGUCCAAACGCUUCUGGAACUCCAGCAGCUUGGGGCCGUGACUGCUGCCCUGAGGAGACUGUUCCAUGCCCACCACCCUCUGGUGAAGAACCUUUUCCUAACAUCCAACCUGACCCUUCCUGAGGCAGCCCCAUGCUGUUCCCUUGGGUCCUGUUGCUGUCACCAGAGAGCAGAGCUCAGUGCUGUCUCUCCAAUCCCCGUGUAAGAAAGUUGUAGGCCACCAUGAGGCCUGCCAUCAGCCUCCACUUCUGCAGCCAGAAAUAGAAGUAUAAUUCAUACAAAUUCCUGGCUAUGUGGCUGGUGCCAGCAUGAGGGCUUUGGUUUUUAUGACAGUGGGACUUUCUAUGAAGAUUAUAGCCUGUUAAGGAGGGAUGAGAUCCACAUGUCUAGAAGAGGCAGGGCAGUCUUUGGCAGCAGGCUAGUUGGCUGACCUAGUGAGUUGAGCUUUAAACUGAAGGACUUAGGGAGUGAGGUCCAAAAUGGCAAUGCUCAUGUCACUGCAAGCACCUAGGGAAUAUCCAGACCAAUCAGAACAGUGACAAAUGUUCCUUAGCUGCCUCCCAUGACAUGAGCCAGAAGGUCAACUAUCGCAAAGGUGUGGAGGAUUCUCUUGCAUCCCUCUAGGGAAAUCUGCAUCCUCUGCUCCCUUUUCAUAUCUGAAGUGCUUGUAUGUCAACGCAUACAGCAUGGAAUCACAGAAUCACAGAAUGGCCCAGGUUGGAAGGGACAUCAAGGAUCAUCAAGCUCCAACCCCCUGCCACAGGCAGGGCCACCAAUCUCCACAUUUAGUACUAGACCAGGCUGCCCAGGGCCCCAUCCAACCUGGCCUUGAGCAUCUUCAGUGACAGGGCAUCCACAACCUCUCUGGGAAGCCUAUUCCAGAACCUCACCACUCUUAGAAUAAGGAAAUUCCCCUGACAUCCAACCUAAAUUUUCCCUCCUUCAACCUAAAACCAUUUGGAGAACUUAAAACCAAUGGAGAAUAAGCAGGAUGAAUUAGAGAUCUGUGUGUGGUUGCUGGGCUGUAACCUCAUUACAGUCACAGAGAUAUGGUGGGAUAGUUCACAUGACUGGAAUGUUGUCACGGAUGGCUAAUGUACUUUUUUGGGAAAGACAAGCCAGCAAAGCAAGGCAGUGGAGUUGCUCUUUGUGAGGCAGAAAUUGGAAUGUACCAAGCUCUGACUAGGGAUGAAUGAUGAACAAGUGGAGAGCUUAUGGGUGAGAACAAAGGGUCAGACUAAUAUGGUGACAUGGUUGUGGGUCUUUACUAUAGGCCACCUAAUCAAGAAGAGGGAGUUGAUGAGGAUGUUACAGAUAGCUGAAAGUAGCCUCACAAUCACAGGCAUGGGGGACUUCAACUAUCCUCAUAUUUACUGCCAGGCGCACACAGCCCACAAGGUUCCUGCAGGGCAUGGAAGAUAAAGUUUCUGAUGCAGGUGGUGAAGGAGCCAACAAGGAGAGGUGUGCUGCUAGACCUUGGUCUUACAAACAAGGAAGGACUCACUGGGGAUAUGAAGGCAGGGGGCACCCUCAGGUACAGCAAACAUGAGAUAGUGGAGUUUAGCAUCUUACAUGGAAGAAACAAGGCAAUAAGUAGGAUUGCAACCCUGGACUUCAAGAGAGAGAAUUUUAAUCUCUUCAGUGACCUUCUUGGAGGUAUCCUAUGGAUUAGAUCAUUGGAAGGUAAAGGGACCCAUGAGAGUUGGUUGACAUUCAAGCACCACUUCUUCCAAGCUCAAGGUCAGUGCAACACUAGAAGUAAGAAGUCAGGCAAAAGUGGCAGGAGACCCACAUGGAUGAACAAGGAGCUCAUAGAAAAAUGUCUACAGAACACAGAAAAGAGAUCUGAACAUUUGAGAAGAAUAUAGGAACAUUGUGAGGGCAUGCAGGGAUGUGAUGAGAAAGACUAAGGUCCAUUUGGAAUUAAAUGUGGUGAGAGAGGUCAAGGACAACAAGAAGGGCUUUUUAAAGUAUGACAGUAGCAAAACAAAGACUAGGGAAAAUGUGGGUCCACUGCUGAAUGAGAUGGGUGCCUUGGUAAUGGAGGACACUGAGAAGGUGAAGUUACUGAAUACCUUCUUUGUUUUAGUCUUUAUUAGUAAUACUGCCCUUUCGGAGUCCCAGACCCUGAAGGUAAAAAGAGAGAAUCUGGAGAAAGGUAGACUUUCCCACUGUUGAAGAGAAUCUGGUCAGAGAUCAUCGAGGCAAACUGAGUGCACACAAAUCCAUGGGCCCCAAUGGGAUUCACACCAUGCAUGCUGACAGAGCUGGCAGAAGUGAUUGCCGUGCCACACUUUAGAGGUGCCGGAGAAGUGGAGGAACUCCAGUGUCACUUCAGUCUUCAAAAAGUGCAAGAAGAAGGAGCCAGGAAACUACAGUCAGCCUCACAUCCACCCCUAUGAAGAUGAUAGAACAGCUUAUUCUGGAUAUCAUCUCCAAGUAAGUGGAAGAAAAGGUUAUCAGGAGUAGUCAACAUGGACUCACCAAGGGGAAGUCAUGCUUGAACAAUUUGGUAGCCUUCUAUGAUACCGUGACCAUCUGGGUAGACGGAGGGAGAACAGUGAAUGCUGUCUACCUUGACUUCAGUAAGGCUUCUGACACUGUCUUCCAUAACACCCUCAUAAGUAAGCUUAGAAAGUGUGGGGCCAGGUUCUUUCCAGUGGUGCCCAGAGAGAGAACAAGGGGCAAGGGGUACAAACUAGAACAUGGGAACUUCCAUAUGAUCAUGAGGAGAAACUUACUUUGAGGGUUACAGAGCACUGAAACAUGCUACCCAAAGAGGUUGUGAAUCUCCUCUGGAGAUAUUCAGGACCUACCUGGUUGCUUUCCUGCGUGACCUACUGUAGGGAACCUGCUUUAGCAGGGAGGUGGGCUAAAUGAUCUGCUGAGGUCCCUUCCAACUCCUAUAAUUCAGUGAUUCUUUGAUUCUGUGGUGUCUGCCCAGAGCAAUUCUCAUGCUCAUCAGACCUUCAGGUCCACCUGAGACCAUUGCAGCCCUAUGUCUGCCCAUAUGAGGCAUACAGGUACUACUUAACUCACAGCCAUAGGAAAGACAAGGAAGGGUUUUCCUUGAUUUUCUCCACAUAUUUUUCCUUUUUUUCACAUGGUCUCAUGACUGAGAAAAAUUCUUUUUAAAAGUUAGGAGUUCUUUUUGUUUUGUUUUGUCUGUUUGUUUAUAUUUUUGAAUGUAUUUUCAUCACUGUCUGACAGGAAUGCCAGAUUCACAAGUUUGAAAAUUCUGCAUGUUAACAUAUAAAAUAAAAUAAAAUAAAAUAAAAUAAAAUAAAAUAAAAUAAAAUAAAAUAAAAUAAAAUGCAUUUCGCAAGGCCACAUAGAGGUGAAGAAACCACACUUCAAAAUGUUUCAUCUCACCAAAAAUGUCUUUCACAACUUUAACCUGCUUUAAGCAUGAUCCACCAGCAAAGCAGGCUCACCACACUUAUGAGCUAGCACAGUUCUUCAGUUCAUAACUAAACUUUCCAAAAAGAUGCUCUACCAUAUUUUUUUCAUUUAUGGUAGAUCAUCAUUAUGCUAUAUAACUUAUGGGACACAUUUUGAAAAUACCAUGUGUUGCUUAUACUGCUAUUUCAGAAAUUUAAGGAAAUAAACCUUACUACA
ensembl:lncRNA